rnacentral:tRNA from 1 species
GUUAUGGCUCAGUGGCAGAGCGCUUGCCUAGCAUGCAUGAGGCACUGGGUUCAAUCCCCCGCAUCACA